ACCGGAGCCGCAGAGAGCGGGUUAAAACAUGGCGUCUCCAGCAGAAUAACAGAGUUAGUGGGUCGGCGGGAGGAAUGGAGCCAGCGGAGUGGGCAAGGAGGCUUCAUAAACGCUCGGUGCAGGUCGCAGAACCAGAAUUAAAAACUACCGGUCCCGCGUUUAUAGCGAAGAAACCGGAAAUGGCUGGGACUCUCCCUCUGCUUGGCUCGGGGGAAGGCUGUGUAGCAGGGCGCAUGCGCGGUCAUCCUGGUCCAGGUAGCAGGAGGAGAGAAUGAUGUGAAUUUUUAUCCUGGACUGACAGAGAUGGAUUUUGGAAACUCCUUUUACAGGGGGUUAUAAGGGGAGAAUUUACACGCAGCAAACUCAAACCAAGAGAAAUGUUUCUCUUCUCAUUUUAUAACCUGAACUGACACUGACGUCUUUAUGAUCUCUUUUUACAGCUGCUUCCAGUGCUUCUGAUACCUUUCCAGCUGCAGGCUCCCCACAGGGGAUUUUAAAUUAGAAAACAGAGAGGAUUUGCAGUCGGGAAACUCAAAGCAAACAUCACAUCUCGACAUGACAGAGUCGCCUAAUUUAUUGUGACCUGAAUAUCAUCAGAUUUUGAACAUGGAAGGAAAAAGCACCGUUCACAGUAGGGAGACACCGUGGAAAUGUGGGGAUUGGGGGAAGGGAUUCAGAUUCCCAUCUGAGCUGGAAACUCAUCGGCGCACUCACACUGGGGAGAGACCGUUCACCUGCUCCCAAUGUGGGAAGGGAUUCAGUCAGUCAUCCAGCCUGAGGACACACCAGCGAGUUCACACUGAUAAGAGGCCUUUUAAAUGCCCAGACUGCGGGAAGAGGUAUAAAAGUUCUGGGGAACUGAUGUCCCAUCAAUGUGUUCACACUGACGAGAGACCGUUCAAGUGCUCUCACUGUGGGACUGGGUUCAGGCGAUCAUCUCAACUCACUGGACACCAGCCAAUUCACACUGGGGAGAGGCCAUUUACCUGUGCUGAGUGUGGGAAGUGGUUCACUACCUCAUCCAACCUACUGAUACACCAGCAAGUUCACACUAACAAGAGACCUUUUAAAUGCCCAGAUUGUAGUAAAUGCUAUAAAAGUUCUGGAAACCUAAUGUCCCAUCAACGAGUUCACACUGGCAAGAGAUCUUUUAAAUGCCCAGACUGCGGGAAGAGGUAUAAAAGUUCUGGGGAACUGAUGCGCCAUCAAUGUGUUCACACUGAUGAGAGACCGUUCAGGUGCUCUCACUGUGGGACUGGGCUCGGGCAAUCAUCUCAACUCACUGUACACUAGCGAGUUCACACUGGGGAGAGGCCGUUCACCUGCUCCAAAUGUGGGAAGGGAUUCUCUCCCUCAUCCAACCUGCGGACACACCUGUGAGUUCUCACUGCCGAGAGACCGUUCAGGUGCUCCCAGUGUGGGACUGGGUUUAGGUGGUCAUCUUAGUUCACUGAACAUCAGCACAGUCACACUGCGGAGAGACCAUUCACCUGCUCCGAGAGUGGGAAGUGAUUCACUCAGUUAUCCCAUCUGCUGAGACACCAGCAAGUUCACAAGUAACUACAGUGAUUGGAUAUUGUGAAAUAACUUCCAGGACUGAACCAUGUUCAUUGAAGUCUCUUUUCUGCUUUUCUGUUAAUAAACUCCAGGUCAAUUAUAGGGGUUUAGAUUCUGGAUAAAAGUCAAAUAAAUUAGCUUUGUGUUUAA